UACGUAGGGCGCAAGCGUUGUCCGGAAUUAUUGGGCGUAAAGAGCUCGUAGGCGGCCUGUUGCGUCCGCUGUGAAAUCCCGGGGGCUCAACUCCGGAUCUGCGGUGGGUACGGGGCAGACUAGAGUGAUGUAGGGGGAGACUGGAAUUCCUGGUGUAGCGGUGAAAAUGCGCAGAUAUCAGGAGGAACACCGAUGGCGAAGGCAGGUCUCUGGGGCAUUAACUGACGCUGAGGAGCGAAAAGCGUGGGG
rnacentral:rRNA from 1 species